UGGGGAAUAUUGGACAAUGGGCGAAAGCCUGAUCCAGCCAUGCCGCGUGUGUGAAGAAGGUCUUCGGAUUGUAAAGCACUUUAAGUUGGGAGGAAGGGCAGUAAGCGAAUACCUUGCUGUUUUGACGUUACCGACAGAAUAAGCACCGGCUAACUCUGUGCCAGCAGCCGCGGUAAUACAGAGGGUGCAAGCGUUAAUCGGAAUUACUGGGCGUAAAGCGCGCGUAGGUGGUUCGUUAAGUUGAAUGUGAAAGCCCCGGGCUCAACCUGGGAACUGCAUCCAAAACUGGCGAGCUAGAGUAGGGCAGAGGGUGGUGGAAUUUCCUGUGUAGCGGUGAAAUGCGUAGAUAUAGGAAGGAAGACCAGUGGCGAAGGCGACCACCUGGGCUCAUACUGACACUGAGGUGCGAAAGCGUGGGGAGCAAACAGG
rnacentral:rRNA from 1 species